CAAAAACAUCAGUCAGCCUUUAAACAUUCCAAAACAUUUGGGAUUUUAGUCUGUCUUUUGACAUUUUGCCAUUCUUUUCCAUGUGGGAGAGGUCAAGUAGGCCUGGUACAAGGUUGGCCCCUGGUGAAGGUGUCCUCUGGCUUUUCCAGGAGCUCCAAAAACCAACCCUUCCACCUGAAAUUGUGCAGUGGCUUUCACCCCAGAGCUGAGGAUGGGCCAUGGGCUAUCAGCUCCUCUCUGCUGGAGAUGGCGAAGGAGAAUGGGAGCUGUGGGAACAGAUCCAGGGGACAGAAGCCCACAGAGAUCUUCCCCAGAAGAUGAGUGGAGCAGAUCAGAGAUGGGAAUAAAGGAGCUGUCACCAACCACAGCCUUCUCCCUGCUCUGCACAGUGAAUGCACAGGUGAGGCUUAAUAGAAUUCAGAUUCUGAUUCUCUGUGUCUCCUUCAGAAGAUAA
rnacentral:lncRNA from 1 species